GUGCUUGUUGGGAGGCACAUAUAUGUACUAAAAUUGGAAUGAUACAGAGAUUAGCAUGGUCCCCGUGCAAGGAUGAAAUGCAAAUUCGUGAAGCGCCCGUGUUUUUC
ensembl:snRNA U6 U6 spliceosomal RNA